AUUCCGCUCCAAUAGCGUAUAUUUAAGUUGUUGCAGUUAAAAAGCUCGUAGUUGGAUUUUGGGUGCGGCAGGCCGGUCCGCCGUUUCGGUGUGCACUGGCAGGCGGCAUCUUUCUGUCGAGGACGCGCUCCUGGUCUUUAUUUGAUCGGGACGCGGAGUCGGCGCAGUUACUUUGAAAAAAUUAGAGUGUUCAAAGCGGGCCUACGCUUGAAUAUAUUAGCAUGGAAUAACACCAUAGGACUCCUGUCCUAUUCUGUUGGUCUCCGGGAUGGGAGUAAUGAUUAAGAGGAACAGUUGGGGGCAUUCGUAUUUCAUUGUCAGAGGUGAAAUUCUUGGAUUUAUGAAAGACGAACUUCUGCGAAAGCAUUUGCCAAGGAUGUUUUCAUCG
rnacentral:rRNA from 1 species